rnacentral:rRNA from 1 species
GAUGAACGCUGGCGGCGUGCCUAAUACAUGCAAGUCGAGCGAACGGACGAGAAGCUUGCUUCUCUGAUGUUAGCGGCGGACGGGUGAGUAACACGUGGAUAACCUACCUAUAAGACUGGGAUAACUUCGGGAAACCGGAGCUAAUACCGGAUAAUAUUUUGAACCGCAUGGUUCAAAAGUAAAAGACGGUCUUGCUGUCACUUAUAGAUGGAUCCGCGCUGCAUUAGCUAGUUGGUAAGGUAACGGCUUACCAAGGCAACGAUGCAUAGCCGACCUGAGAGGGUGAUCGGCCACACUGGAACUGAGACACGGUCCAGACUCCUACGGGAGGCAGCAGUAGGGAAUCCUCCGCAAUGGGCGAAAGCCUGACGGAGCAACGCCGCGUGAGUGAUGAAGGUCUUCGGAUCGUAAAACUCUGUUAUUAGGGAAGAACAUAUGUGUAAGUAACUGUGCACAUCUUGACGGUACCUAAUCAGAAAGCCACGGCUAACUACGUG